rnacentral:piRNA from 1 species
UGGGCAAGGGAUGACAGGCUUGUUGGGCCUU